rnacentral:lncRNA from 1 species
CUUGGUGACUAUCAACCAUCAACCUUUUGUAUCCCAUAGUGCAGUGCAUUUGAAGAGACUGUCCUACUGAAGAGAACCACUGGAGGCUUAGCAAUCCCAAGGCAUUUGGAGCCACAGCCAAGAGUUAAGCAAUUGAUGGCAGAUGUUUUCCCCUGGAAAAUCCAAAUGGACCUGUAAUAUCACAAGCAAUGGCACCCUAGAUGCCCAGGCAAUCUCGGCUUUGAAUGAGGAG